rnacentral:rRNA from 1 species
UACGUAGGAUCCGAGCGUUGUCCGGAUUUACUGGGUAUAAAGGGUGCGCAGGCGGGCUUGUGCGUCAGAGGUUAAAUAUUUCGGCUUAACCGGAAAAAUGCCUUUGAUACGGCAAGUCUUGAGUGCGAGAGAGGAUGGGGGAAUUCCUGGUGUAGCGGUGAAAUGCGCAGAUAUCAGGAGGAACACCAGUGGCGAAGGCGGCCAUCUGGCUCGCACCUGACGCUCAGGCACGAAAGCGUGGGGAGCAAACAGG